UUAUGAGUAAUGUUGCUGUGUAUAUUCAUGUACAAGGUUUAUUUUAUUUAUUUUUUUUUGUUUUUGUUUUGUCCUCUCUGGGGCCUCACUUUUCUGUAAAGAAAGGGACAGAUACCACAGCACCAAAACGUUCCUCAGUGUGAUAGUGCCCCCAUGUGGUGUAGCAGUAGCUCAAACCUGGGUGGUGCACCUGGCAAAGCAGACACCCUCCCAGGAGCUGUGCUAUGGGUGCAUGCAUCGUGCCAAGGCCAACAGUCUGCUGUACUGCUGAGAGGAAACAUAAAAAAAGGAUUCAGAGACCAAGAAGAUUCUAUGGAGAUACCAGAUAAUGAAGACAAGGACACUGUGUUCAAGAACCAGCUUAUAUAAAUGCAUUGGGGAGGGGUUUGGAGGAUGAAGGAGGGUUUACUCUACUCUGUUGCAUGAGUGCAGGGAAGAA